GCGAGCUUGCCUAGAUGAUUUUAGUGCUUGCACUAAAUGAAACUAGAUACAAGCGAGCGGCGGACGGGUGAGUAACACGUGGGUAACCUGCCCAAGAGACUGGGAUAACACCUGGAAACAGAUGCUAAUACCGGAUAACAACACUAGACGCAUGUCUAGAGUUUGAAAGAUGGUUCUGCUAUCACUCUUGGAUGGACCUGCGGUGCAUUAGCUAGUUGGUAAGGUAACGGCUUACCAAGGCAAUGAUGCAUAGCCGAGUUGAGAGACUGAUCGGCCACAUUGGGACUGAGACACGGCCCAAACUCCUACGGGAGGCAGCAGUAGGGAAUCUUCCACAAUGGACGAAAGUCUGAUGGAGCAACGCCGCGUGAGUGAAGAAGGGUUUCGGCUCGUAAAGCUCUGUUGGUAGUGAAGAAAGAUAGAGGUAGUAACUGGCCUUUAUUUGACGGUAAUUACUUAGAAAGUCACGGCUAACUACGUGCCAGCAGCCGCGGUAAUACGUAGGUGGCAAGCGUUGUCCGGAUUUAUUGGGCGUAAAGCGAGUGCAGGCGGUUCAAUAAGUCUGAUGUGAAAGCCUUCGGCUCAACCGGAGAAUUGCAUCAGAAACUGUUGAACUUGAGUGCAGAAGAGGAGAGUGGAACUCCAUGUGUAGCGGUGGAAUGCGUAGAUAUAUGGAAGAACACCAGUGGCGAAGGCGGCUCUCUGGUCUGCAACUGACGCUGAGGCUCGAAAGCAUGGGUAGCGAACAGGAUUAGAUACCCUGGUAGUCCAUGCCGUAAACGAUGAGUGCUAAGUGUUGGGAGGUUUCCGCCUCUCAGUGCUGCAGCUAACGCAUUAAGCACUCCGCCUGGGGAGUACGACCGCAAGGUUGAAACUCAAAGGAAUUGACGGGGGCCCGCACAAGCGGUGGAGCAUGUGGUUUAAUUCGAAGCAACGCGAAGAACCUUACCAGGUCUUGACAUCCAGUGCAAACCUAAGAGAUUAGGUGUUCCCUUCGGGGACGCUGAGACAGGUGGUGCAUGGCUGUCGUCAGCUCGUGUCGUGAGAUGUUGGGUUAAGUCCCGCAACGAGCGCAACCCUUGUCAUUAGUUGCCAUCAUUAAGUUGGGCACUCUAAUGAGACUGCCGGUGACAAACCGGAGGAAGGUGGGGAUGACGUCAAGUCAUCAUGCCCCUUAUGACCUGGGCUACACACGUGCUACAAUGGACGGUACAACGAGAAGCGGACCUGCGAAGGCAAGCGGAUCUCUUAAAGCCGUUCUCAGUUCGGACUGUAGGCUGCAACUCGCCUACACGAAGCUGGAAUCGCUAGUAAUC
rnacentral:rRNA from 1 species